rnacentral:lncRNA from 1 species
AAGCCCAGAGCCCAACAUGGUGCUCUAUCCCACAGCCCCGAGAUCACAACCUGAGCCAAAAUCAAGAGUCAGACACCUAAGCGACUGAGCCACCCAGGUACCCCAGAAGCCACUGAUAUUUGUAAAUAGCAUUAUCCUACCUGAACAACAAGAGGUCUUUAGUUUUAUCAACUUGGAAAUGAUCUUUGUGCCAUUGGAAGAUUUAAGUAGGAAAUAAAUGAAAUGGGGUAGAAGCAUAGAGCUGAGAAGGAACCAGAGAGACUGGAUUUGGUUAUAACAGGGGCAAAGAAAGAAUGAAUGGGCACAAAGUUCUGUAGAAACAGGAUUUAGAGUUUAUCAAGAAAAGGAAUGCUCAAGAAAAAGCAUGAAGAAGACAUGAGGGCUAAAGAGCUUAGAGACUCAAAGACCUCAGUUUAGCAAACAUGUGACAGCAUAAUACAAAAUUAUUGUCAUAAGGUAAGUGAAACUGAAAAACAGAAGGUAAGAGAAAAAGAAGGACAUUCUAAUAUAGAAAAUAUUUGUCCAGCAGCAUUUUUCCACCAGAUUCCCAGGAGAGAAUAUGGGAAAUUUUAGCAAAGGAAAGCAGGCUUGCCAGAAAGAAAGGACUAUAGCCACUCAGGGGGCUAGCCCAUCACUCCGUCACCCAGUGUGUUCAGUGGUGACCUGUUCACUCGGGCUGACCCUGGUUGUGAUGGCCCAGCACGCCGCAGCAUCCAUCCUAGCCUUGCCAUGGCCGCCAGUCCUCCUGUCCCCUCCCCCACUCCAUGAGCAGUGCAUCCUGAACUGGCAGCUUGAUGAUCCCAUGGCAAUUCUUCCAUACGCCCUGCCGAGGGGCAUUUCUCACUCCUGACUCUCCAUCUCCACUUCUUUGCCUCCUUCUUGGGUUUCCAUGGGGUUCUAUACAUAGAACUUAUGUGUAUAGAAAUUCUGUGUAUAAGUUCAUGUCAUCUGUGAGUCCUGUAGUCCCUCAGCCCUGUAGCUCAGUGCUUCUCAAAAUUUAGCUGACGUAAAAAUUACUGGAUUCUUCGUGGGCUCCUCUUCCAGAAGUUAUGAUUCAACAGGUUGGGGGUGUAUGUGUCAGAAUUUGCAUUUCUGAUAAGCUCCUCAUCGGUGCUGAUUUUGCUGGCCCAAGCAGCAUGCUUUGAGGAGAACUGCCAUGGAGGACUCCCUCUAUCGCCUGUGCUAAAUCUACCUCCUUUCCUCCCUGGUGGCCACUGGCCCAGCCCAGGCCUCCAGCACAGUGGUGCUAGCUGGGCCACUAGCCCUUCUCCUCUCUCAGGAAAACAAUGUCAGCCAUGUAUGCAAGACAGGGAGCUGACUGCUGCUAUGGGAAUGACCUUAAUUCAAUUUAAUCCAUAUUUAUGAAGCACAUCAUUCACAGCCUUCGGUUAUUUCAGUAAUAAUUAUAUACUGCCUUAAUUAUUAGUGAUAACAAGUUUUCUUCCCUACACUGCAGUGGGUCAAGCCAUCUUUGCCAAGAACCAUCUGGGACCUCUUUGCUCUGCAUUCCUCCCAUUUUCCUCCAAAUACCUCAAAAAAUCUUAACAAAAAGCCAGUAUCUUUAUAUAUUUCCAGUGAUCCUCAACCUAAUUGCCCAUUAAAAUCACCAGGGAGCUUUUUAACAUACUGGUUCUCAGGCCCCAAUUAAUUUAGAUUCUGAAAGUACUUUUUAGAUCUUCCCAGAUGGUCUGAUGUGCAGCCAAAGUUAGGAACCCCUGCUUUACGCCUUUGUUCCUGAAGCAUCCUUCCCCUUCCCUUCCUUUUUUCACGUAUUAGAAUCCUACUUGUUCUUCAACCUCAUAUUCAAAUAUCACCUCCUCCAUGAAGGCUUUUCCAAGAAUCUUUCCUCCCUGGUCAAUACAGAUUCCUCCCCGCUGUGCUCCUAGAGCACUGAUUUAGCAUUUUACAUGUUAAUUUUCUGUUUCCCCAGAAAGAUUGUGAAUUCCCUCAUACAAGCUGUCUCAUAUAUCUUUUUUUAAUCCCUAAGUCUUAACAAAUUCUAUUUGUUGAAUUAAAUUUAACUGUUCAGGAAGUGGAACAGAAGUACUAUUAACUUCCUCCUCAAAAACAUUUAGGGUAACAGAUUCUUAAUUAGUUAGUGGAUCAUAGCUGGUUUCAAAAAUAAAGCAUUCCAUGAUGUUAGUACACUCUCCUAUUUCAGAAUAAGCCUCAAAGCCUCAAGGCAAAAGGACACCUCCUUUCUUCUCUUGGUGAAGGGCAAGAGGACAUUUACCCAUAGUCUCUUGUUACACAAAGUGUGGUCAAUGAACCAGCAGCAGCAGCUGCAUUGCCUGGGUAUUGAGUCAGAAAUGUAAAAUCUCAAUCCCCACCCUAGAUCUACCAAAUCAAAAUCUGAUUUUAACCAGCUCUUCUGCUGUUCUCAUGCACAUCAAAGUUUGAGGAACACUGCCAUCCACUUUCUCUUCCAACUUUUACAAUUUCUGCUUUACUCCACAAAACUGCUUUCACUAUCUAGAGAUUUCCCAAUAGAAUCUAUGAAUCAUUAUUCUAUAAAAGAGGAAUCAUUCAUCUUCUCUGGUGAUUCUAAACUCCAACAACAUUUCAGAGUCACCUGGGGUGCUUUAAAAGGUAUUGAUACCUGGGCCCCCAACCCCAGAAAUUCUGAUUCAGUUGGUCAAGGAGAUCUGGGCUUUGGUAUUUUUAAAAUCACCCAUCUACUCUGUGUUUCCUAUCUUCAAGAAGCAAGAAUUCUCAAGCCAGCCAACCAUUUACUUUGCUCUUUAGUUUUCCUUGAUGUCUGCCCCAAUGUCUGAUAAUCCCUUGGUCAGUUAUUGGAGGACACAUCCAUAGAAGAUUUUUAUCCCAUUGAGCUCACCAAGAGGCACUCCUAAGAUGAUCACUUUAUUAAUGAUCAAAGGAAAGACUCGUUUGGGUAUCCCACCAAAUUCCACCCAGUAUGAAUCUGGCAACGGUAGUACUUUGACCUUUCCUUUUUUAAAGAUUUUAUUUAUUUAUUAGAGAGAGAGAGAGAGAGAGAGACUCCCCUACUGAGCAAGGAGCCGAACGUGAGGCUCGAUUCCAGGACCCUGGGCUCAUGACCUGAGCUGAAGGCAGACACUUAACUGACCGAGCCACCCAGGUACCCCUACUUUGAUCUUUCUAAAAUAUAUUUUUACUGAGUAGAAUUGCUUUUACCACUUCCUCCUCAAUCUUGUUUUGUAUUUUCUUUUCCUAAAACAUGGGUCAAAGGUGGGAUUAGGAAUAAAGUCUUAUAGCAAACCAUGAGAAGUUACACAGAAUGGUCAGUUUUAAAUAUUGGUAACCAAAGGAAAGUGCUGGCUGAGAAGUCUUUCAUUUUACCCUUGCUUUCAUCUUCAUAAUAUUUCCUAUCCCUCUCUUUGGCUUCCCUAAAGAAAUGAACACCUAGGAGGCUACCUCUGUUUGGGAUGAGUAAGUGGAGCAUUUUCUGAAAUGCUGACAUGAUAAAGGCCGUUAGCAAGAGGUUUCACACAACUCUCAGCAAAUCAGAGGGAACUCGCAAGAAUUCCUUAAGCCUCAUGAAGAUUAAUGCUCUAUUAUGUUCUGUGAACCUGGGGCAAGAAUUGGAGCUAAAUUUGUAGACAGCUUUGGCAGAUUUAUGUCUACCCCUGAGAUGAAUAACAUACAUGAUAUUUUAGAAGUGAAUUCUAUGUAAAGUCCAUCACAAAGCACAUGAAAUCACUUCAUAAUAGACUGCAACACAGUUAAAUCUCCUUUAGGCAUUGGGAAGCUCCUUUAAUUAUUUCUUAGGUUCAGCCCAGGGUCCUGGAAUUAAAGGCUGAAUCCCAGGCUGAACUUUGAGUUUGUUCACUCAUGCAGGUUGGUUAAACCUUUGCAUGUUUUUUAUGACACUUUUUUCUGUCCUAUUUUCUUUUUUUUUUUUAAGUGAGAUAUAAUUGAUAGACUCCUCCACUUUCUUAGAUGAGCCAAAUACCAUAAAGAACCAAGAAAUGAAAAUGCCAUUGGGAAGCAAACGUGAAUUGUUUUUAUUCUGUUUUGUAUUAUGAGCUGUGUUCCAACUGUAUUAUCUCUAAAUUUAAGAAAAUAAAUAAAUAAAUAAAUAAAUAAAUAAAUUUAAGAACCAUAACUGCAGAGGUCCAUCUUAUAACACUUAAUAUAAAAUCCAAAGAAUAUCCAUCUCAUCAGAACAAAUAAAAAAUCAAAAUUACUCACUCGACAUAUGUAUUCCUGUCAGAUUUUGUGGGUUUAUUCUGAGCAAGUAAAUUUGAAGCCAUAGUUUUUACUACAUCAUUUUUAAGUUGAUGUCAGAAAAGAAAAAUAUUGUGAUUUGCUAUUAAAUUAUAGAUGAAAUCAUAGUAGUUCAGCUCCAAGUUAGAAUGAUACCCUCCCUUAUAAGCUAUGUUUUCUUCUAAAAUUGCUAAUGGAGCUUUUCCCUCCGCAUUCUAAAGUCCCUUAUCAAUUCAAAAAUAUCCUCCCUGACAUGGCCUUUUAUACUCCAAUCCAGCUCUCAGAAAAGCACUUCCCCAAGGUGAUAGGCUCUCUUUGAAAGUGUGGCAUCCUGUCUUCUUGACCAAGUUGGUUAGCUUGUCAACUGUUAACCAGUGAGCCUUUCUCUCACAUCUGGCUUAGUCCCAGUGUGGGUCUGGUGUAGCAUACUGACUUAUUUAUUUUGAGACAACUAUACAUGGAUAUGAGUUCUCCAUUGAUUUCCAUAGCAACUCCACUGGGUUAUCUCAAAAAUGUGUCCCAAAAAUGUCUCCCUUUCCAAACAUUUCAUUUUCUUACCCCCCAUCCCUACCUCUCCCCAACUUGGUCUCAUUCUUUAUAAACAGAAGUGAGGAGAACAUUCAAAGUCAGGACUUCAUGUGAACUUUGCCCAUUCAAAAUCACAUGGAAGUUCUGAUAAUUAAACACAAUCCAUUUCCCAGGGGCUCUUCACUUAGCUAAAUCCUAGCUAAAAUCCAGUGAACUACCUGCCAGAGGUUAAUCCAGGUAGAAAAAUGAACUAUAGUCCAAUAGUUUUAGAAAACACAGUGUUAAGAAAUCUGUGAAUUCCUAGGGCACCUGGGUGGCUCAGUGGAUUUAAGCAUCCAACUCUUGAUUUCAGCUCAGGUCAUGAUCUCAGGGUUGCGAGAUCGAGCCCCGCAUCGGGCUCCAUCAGGCUGCUUAAGAUUCUCUCUCUCUCUCUCUCUCUCUCUCUCUCUCCCUAUGCCCCUCCGCCAUAGCUUGCAUGCUCGCACAUGCACAUGAGCUCUCUCUCA